UUGCUUUUGGGAGAAAUAUCCCUGGUUUAAUUUAUUUUCUGGGUGUGCUACUGAACACCAAGUCUUUAUUUUUUUUGGAGCAGAAAAAAUGUACGCUCCUGCAUGUGUUAUGUCAAUAUUUAUUGCUGCAGAAGCCCUACCUCCCCAACCCACGCCAGCACUCCCACCCCAACCGCCAGCCCCACAACCACAGCCGGCUCCUCAUCAACCAAGGCAACGGAGGCGUGCUAGGCCACCAAUUUUCCGAACCC